GGGUUCCGCUGAUCAGAAGCGGACAAGCAAACAGCGGAUGUGCAGUUCCUCUCUUCGCCGAACCCGGUUUUCCCUUUCGGAGCAGCGCGACCGAUUUCCGGUUUCCCCGCCGCAACCACCGUUACCCCCCCCCCGCCCCAAUCCCCGGCGACUCCAGCGACGUCACCGGUUCAGCUCCUGACCUUUCGGCGAACCGCAGAACCACAGGCGACCCGUUCGACGUCAUCACUCCCCGCCCAGAUGUCGCUGUGACAUCACCCCGCACGUGCCUGCGCUGGCACCGCGUCGUCCUGGCGAGCGCCUCCUCGCGGCGGAAGGAGAUCCUGGGGUUCGCUGUGCGAGACAUGUCGGCGGGGUUUCACGUGAGUGACACUUGGUCCCCACGGGAUUGACAGCGACUAGCGGAGUGGCAUGUGGACGUAGCUUCAGGUGACCUCACUGACCCCGCCCCUGACUCCACCCCUUGUGAUGACCCCACCACUGACCCACAGGCCUUGGAGGGGCUGAUCCUGGAGAAGUCAAAGGACCAGGAGGACGCCAUGGGGGGUGCUGUACAGGCUGAGCAGGAAGCAGAGCAGCACAGCGUCAUCAUGAGGGUAGCCAUCUUCACCUGGGGCAUCCACGGAGGCCCUGCCCAGGAAGUGACUUUCUCUCUACUGUAGGAGGAGCUGAUCCACGACUACUUGGACAACAGCACACCAGCGAAGGAUGGUGGAAGAAAAGUGUUUUGAAACUGACCCUACAGAUAAAAGAGUUCAUCAUGAAUGCGUGAGUUUUCUAUUUUUCUAGUAACAAAGAGUGGGUUUUAUAGUGUUCACGUGUAUUUAUUUAUUAGACAUAUUAGAGUACGUUAUAAUUGUAUUUUUAUGAUGAAAACAACACAGUUUUACUCAAUAGAUGUGAGUUUCUAAAUGUGAUAAGAAAGAUCGUACUCGAACAUUAUUUUCAUUCCUGGGCUAUACUGUAUGCCAUUACUUUGACGUAUUUUCAUAUGUACAUUUUAAAUAAUACUGUCCAAUGUGUUAAGAAAGAAAAAUGUUUUAACACAGAUGCUACAGAAAAGAGUGUUAAUCCUGAAUGCCUGUGUGUUCUACUCUAUGCUAGUAACAACAAGAGUGUUUUUUUUGAGAGUUCACCUGCGUUUAUUUAUUAGACAUAUUAGACUAUAUUAUAGCUAUCUUUGAAAGAAGAAAACCAGACAGUUUUGGCAAUAGAUGUCAAUUUCUAAAUGCAAUGAGAAAGAUUUUAUUGAAUGUUAUUUCCUUUAGUGGGCUACACUGUAUAUCCUUUGACGUAUUUUCAUAUGCACAUUUUAAAUAAAACUGUACAAUGCGCCGGG
rnacentral:lncRNA from 1 species